rnacentral:rRNA from 1 species
UACGAAGGGGGCUAGCGUUGUUCGGAAUCACUGGGCGUAAAGGGCGCGUAGGCGGCCGCUCAAGUCGGGGGUGAAAGCCUGUGGCUUAACCACAGAAUUGCCUUCGACACUGUUUGGCUUGAGACCGGAAGAGGUGAGUGGAACUGCGAGUGUAGAGGUGAAAUUCGUAGAUAUUCGCAAGAACACCAGUGGCGAAGGCGGACUCACUGGCCCGAUACUGACGCUGACGGCACGAAAGCGUGGGAGCAACAGGG